UACAGAGGGUGCAAGCGUUGUUCGGAAUUAUUGGGCGUAAAGGGCGCGUAGGCGGCCACGCACGUCCGUUGUGAAAUCGCCCGGCUCAACUGGGCGGGGUCGGCGGAUACGGCGUGGCUGGAGCAAGCUAGGGGGCAAUGGAAUUCCCGGUGUAGUGGUGGAAUGCGUAGAUAUCGGGAGGAACACCAGUGGCGAAGGCGGUUGCCUGGAGCUUUGCUGACUCUGAGGCGCGAAAGCGUGGGGAGCGAACAGG
rnacentral:rRNA from 1 species